rnacentral:lncRNA from 10 species
ACCUGAGAGGGCGCGGAAGAGGCGCGUGGCCGGCAGCAGCAGGUGAGCGCCUCACUGGAGGCCCCAUAGUGUUAUUCAAAGGCCACAGUUUAUUCCCACUUCUGCAGCUGACUAGGAAAACAGGGUUUCCCAUUGGUAAGGAAGUCAAGAAAGAAAGGAGAGAGGACAAAGAGAGGAGAGAGAGAAGGGAGAGAGGAGAGAGACAGAAGAGAGAAACUUCCACAAGGCCAGGGACCAGUUCUGGCUGGUUGU